CUGAUUGGGUCUUUUGCCCUUAGCCGGUCAGUGGAGGCCAGCCCGGGGUGGCUGAUUUUUGUUUUAUUUUGUUUGUGGAGGUCAGAGUGGAGAAGGGGUAGGAAACGCUUGGCGCUGUCUCUGCCGCCCCAUUAAAUGAUGAGCACGGACUUAGUUAAGUACUUGUCCACCACUAUUUGCCUUAUCGUGUUCCCCCAGGGAGGAAUGAGUCUGACCUUGCUCACUCGAUGUUGUCUAGAGUAGGGGAAACAGGAGUACCCCAGGAAGCAAAUGGGUAAUUGACAUGCCAGUGCUAAGAUCAAAAGCUACGGAAAGCCCAAGGGUGGAGUUCAGAGAAGGCAAGAGGCCGAGUGCAAAGCCGCCUGCGUGCCGGGCGGGAAGGUCGGCCGCCUCUCAGGGACCCUGGAGGGUCCGAGAAUGACGCGCGGCCGGCAGGCGGGCGGGGCGGCGGCAGCGCUGGGCUGGGGGCGCCGCCGGGCCCUGGCGCAGCGCCCGGAACACCCCGUGCCGGAAGCGCCAUGUGACCGUGACUGCGCAGAAGCCGUGAGCGCCGCGAAACAAAGGGCGUCUCUAAGGCCGCCUGGCGCUCAGGCUGGCACGGAGGGCCGGACCUCCUACCCCCCGGCCGGGCCCCCGGACUCUGGCGGGCAGGGAGGCCCCGGAUCGCGCCCAGGCCCUGGCGGGAGCGCGGGGAGAUGGCAGAGGAGUGCCCCGGGGCACCGUGAGAUGCAAGUGCGAUAUCGGGGCCAAGGUCGUGGGGCGUUGGCGGUUUUCUCCGUCACUGCCGUCACUGCCGGCUCUGACAGAUUACCCGCUCCUUAAUGUCUGUAACAGAGGCGGCGAUAAUUGUCCCUACGCAAUUAUCCUAGGGGGAGGAGGCUUAGGUAAGGCGCGCUCUGGAAAGCGGGGAGGACAGUGCGGGCGUCCCCUGAUGGGGAGGGCCAUAGCGCCUCUCUCCCAGACGAACACACACGGGAAUUCGGGUCAGUGACUGCCACUUUCAAGUCCCAGCAGGGAUGUAGUUUCUGGCCAGGCCACCUGGAAGAGGAGCAGCAUGUGGCAGGUGGCACAGGGCCAGAUUGACCCCAGAUGUCUCCUUUGUUUAGUUUGCAAGUCUUGUUGAAGAGACAGACGGAUGUUGGGAACAGAAGGACUUCAGGACAGUGGUUUCCAAAUCUGGUCCUCAGAACACCCAUGGACCAUGAUGAUGACAUCACCAGUUGGUGACAAAAAAGGAGAAAAACGCAAUUCCCAGAAUGAGCUCUUCCUGAAGCAAAAUUAUUCCAUUUAAAGGACCAUCUUUUAAAGGGAAAUCAAGUUCUUCCUCCUUUUUUGGUAUUAAAUUAUACUUUCUUUUAGGUCA